CACGUUGAGUAUACUUGUAUUCCGACUUCAACAAAGUCUGGCAUUUCGUGCCACUUUUAUCGCGCAGAGAUGAUUCCACAAACCAAACUAAACGUAUUUUUGUGUUUGAUUUUGUUCUCCAGUGUUCUUACUCCACGAAAUGUUAUAGAUGCUCAGCAUAUUUGCAACGUCUGUAUGGAUGUCUACAAAUGCACCAAAGAAACAGAUCGAUGGCGAACGGAUAAGAAUGAACUCUGCGAAAGACAAUGCUGCCCAUACUUAGAAAGCGGAUUUUACUAUUUGGAUGAAAUUAAUAAUCUUGAAUCUAGAGAUCUGUGAAUUAUUACUUAUUAAAAAUUAAUAUCUAGUUA